rnacentral:rRNA from 1 species
CCAGAGACCGGCGCACGGGUGCGUAACGCGUAUGCAAUCUACCUUUCACAGAGGGAUAGCCCAGAGAAAUUUGGAUUAAUACCUCAUAGUAUAUUGGUCUCGCAUGAGAUUAUUAUUAAAGAUUUAUCGGUGAAAGAUGAGCAUGCGUCCCAUUAGUUAGUUGGUAAGGUAACGGCUUACCAAGACUACGAUGGGUAGGGGUCCUGAGAGGGAGAUCCCCCACACUGGUACUGAGACACGGACCAGACUCC